GUCACUUUGGCCGAGUGGUUAAGGCGCGCCCCUGCUAAUGGACAGUCGACUAGAUUGUCCCGCUGCCAGGGCGUUCAUUCGUGAGCGUAGGUUCGAAUCCUGCAGGUGACG